AGUUCGAUACCAUCUCCUUUGGAAACAUUCCUCAAAUAACUCAGUCGAUCUCCCAGCAGCAGCAAAUAAAUCUGCCCAGUGCCGUCCAUCAGUCUUUCUUGCAACACUAACAACCACGUCAAAGUACUCCGGGAAAUUUCUAAUCAAAUCACAUGUCUUAUCCAGAAGUGAGGAACUUGUUGAAUGAUUGGGAAUAACACUAUGAUUCUUGCUCCCAGAAAUGUCGGCUUCAAACACAGUAAAAAGGAGCCACUCUAAACAAUGCGAAAAAUGUGGCUUCUCAGCUGAUAAUUGUGCCAAUCUUAGAGCUUCUUCCUUUUUAUCCCUCUGUAGAAGAUGUCGAAGUAGGCAAUGCAAAAUAGUCUGAGCUUGAGGUGAUGGCUCGAAACAUGGAAACUCUGUACAUGCGGAAAAUGACAUUCUCUGGGAGACGCCAACUACAACUCCAGCAUUUGGAAGCAAACCAAGAGGAUAAACCUCACGAUCAAAAUCCAGCUCCGGAUCCAACUGCAAAAAAUCCUCUUGCUUAAAAACAUCAGCACCAGGAGAUGGAUACCAAACCUGCAUUCCACGGUGGCCAUAGUCUAACCAUGAAACUUCCUCAAUCAAGCUUGCUUUCUCCUCUGACUGACCACAGGUAACCCAAAACAACUCUACGGAGUCCGUAAGUUCUCUUUCUCUCCCCUCAUCCAAAUCAAGAAGUGAAAGCUCUCCAUUUGUCCUUAGUAUUAAGCAUCGGGUAGGCUCUCGGACUGACAGAUCCAAAGAAGUUGGCAGACCACCAUUUCCUGCAAUGCCUUCUCUUGGGAGCUGAUCAGGAAUAAAACGCAUUGAUGCAGGAUGGCUCUUUGCAGUCAUGAUUGAUAGCUCUCGUACUGCAAAUCGGGAGAACUCGAAGGCGUUAGUUCACCAGAUAACUUCACAUGGUAAAUAUGGACAUCGAAAGGUCGGUAAGUGACAAGAAGAUAAUCUUGGUAAACAUCCAUGACCAUCGGUUUGGUAAGCAAAGGUUUCCGACAUAGAAGUGAACUCUGAUCAAGGUGAUAUCUGGGAUAGAAAAGCAAUUCAUACCCGUCAGAGGAAUCAUCAUAAUUGCAGACAACAACAAUCUUCCCAAGCCAUAACAAGCCUCUGCACUGGAUCUUUUGUUCCUGAGUGACAUCUCCAAAAACUCUCCACUUUUUCAAUCUUAUGUCAUAUAAGAUAAGUCCAUGAAGGCCAGCAGCUGCUAAGUACAUUCCAUCCUUGCU
rnacentral:misc_RNA from 1 species